rnacentral:rRNA from 1 species
AUGGCCGGGGCGGGGCUCGCGCUCGAGCGGCCGGAGUGGAGCAUGGUCGGGCCGGGGCUCGCGUGCGCGCGGCCGGAGUGGGCCAUCUCCACCCGCGCACUCCACGGCACCCUCACCGGGCGGUUGAGCUCCAGCUCCACGGCAUGGCCGAGGACGAGGACGUCCACGGGAUCUCCGGCCUGGCCGUGGUGCUGCUCACCCUGGCCGGCGUCCUGCUGCUGCUCCUGGGCCCCGGCAUCUUGGCUGCGUCCUCGUCCUCCUUCCGGCUCGCUGCUCGCUGCCAUCGAGGCCGAGCUGGAGGACAGGGAUCUGACUCCGGGAGGGUGCGGCCUGCGAGCGCGCGGCCGCGGAAGGGCGCGGCCUGGGAGGCGAGCGUGGUCGCGGGCGUGGCCUACGGACGGGACGGCCUGGGUGGCUACGGAGAAUACGUGGCUCCUCCUCUCCGUCUCCUCGCUGGCCAACACCAACUUCCCACUCUCCACGGCCGACCUCCUCCCGUUCCUCGUCGCCACGCUCACCGCCACCGACGUCCUGGCCGACACAAGGCUGGCGUGCCUCGCCGCGCUCCGCAACCUCUCCGCCAAGCUCGAGCACGUCCGGGCCGAGGUCAACAGCGGCGCCGUGCGCGCGCUCCUGGCGCUCUCCCUGAUGGAGCGGACGGAGACCACGGCAGCGGAGUCGGCCCCCGCUUCUCGCCAACACUGCUCCUGGGAGCGCAACGAGUGGACAAAUUCCCACCCCCAGGCCAAAGUUCUCGCCGGCAGCCCCCCAGGAGGCGAAAAAAAUGCCUCCUGGGGGGCCGAACGGCUGGAGAUGCCCUAA